AGUCCAGGAGCGGCUUGGAUCCUCGCCCGUUCCCUCCUGGUCGUUUCCGCAGUAACCUCUUAUCAGAGCGGGCAGCUGUGAGUGGCGCUCACAUCCGCCGCUGCCCUGUCGAAUUGGGGAAAGAGUUCUUGUGUUCUGAGGAGGGUUUGGCUAUGGUCCUUGACCCUAUUCUUGUCUCAGACUUGCCUCCCAGGAAUAUAGGAGGAUUGUAUGCCCUGGCCUCCCUGUGAUGGGGUUGAACUACAUGACAUGUUCUCCGAAUUAAUUGUGAGCAUAGCAUUUAAUUGUUGAUGCAAGACCUUCCAGAACUCUUUUUCUCUUUGCCAUGGCAAUCAUCAGUGUUCCAGAGAGCAUAUGCACUAUCAGCCUUGGUAGUGGUGAGAAGAUGAUGCAGAACAGAGUCCCAGUCACAUCAUGAAGGACAUGUAAAGUGAGAAGUAAACCUUGGUUGUUUUAAGCCAUUGAGAUUUGAGUUUUGUUACCAGAGCAGAUCUUUGUCAUCCUGGCUAAUGUGCCUGAGAAGAAGAGGUUUAAGGAAGAAAACUUGUGAACACCAAUGUGCUUGUUAGAUUCCUUUGCUUGUAAGAAAGAGAAACUCAAGAGACUAAUGAAAAGAAGGAACAAGUGUUUAUAUGGGUAUAUGAGUAGCUAUUAGGAGCCCAGGCAUAAGCUACUCUCUUAUUUCUUUCUCAUUGUGUCUCUGCUCUUCUCUACCUCUUUAAUCUAUUCUCACACUACCAACUGGCUAAUUAAUCCACUUCUUAUCCUUUAGUCUGCAUUUCGGAAGAAUAUAAGCCAGUUCCAGAGCUCUUAGCUCUAAGUAGCUUCAUGGGCUGCCAGCCAACCUGGAAAUGAGCUACUCUUGGGUCAGGUGCCAAUCCUGCUCUAAACAGUGUCACUCCUACCUGAAACAUCAUUUAACUUUCCUGGGCAUGGGACCUCUGGUACAGCAAUGCAAGCAGUAGUGGGAUAUUUCUAUUCUCGUCCCACUACAAUUUAUUUUUCACAGAAUUGUGAAAAUUAUAUUUUACAAUUGGACAUCAGAUGUGUCUUAAUCCAUAUCUACCAGCCCACCACAACCAGCCUAAAACCCUUAUAUUGCAUUAGGGAAAGACCCAACUCCCUGCCUGGCCUACAAAGCCCUUUACGAUCUAGCCUCUGCCUGGCAUUCCUACCUCACCUCCUGCCACCCUCCGUCUCACACGUUCCAGCCACCCAGGCCUCCUGUGUCUCGCUUGGAUGAGUCAAGCUGGUUUCCUCCUCAGGACAUUUGCAUUCUGCCCUUGCUAAUCUUUCUUGUUUGAACACGCUGCCCUUGGCUCUGAGAAAGCCUGGUUUCUUCAUUCUUAUUCAUUUUAAGCUCUCCUGUCAUCUCCUCAGAGAUGACUUUCCUGAUUACCCUCAUCUAAAGGACUGCCCUCCCUACAUCGGGUUACUGGUACCCCUUAUUUUCUUCAUAGCACUUAUCAUCACCUGAAAUUGCCUUGUUUAUUCCUUUACUUUCUGUCUUCCAUAAGCAGAAUGAAAUACCAUGAGAGUGAGUAUCUUUCCUGUCUUGUGAACCCCUGUACUCUGAUUCCCUAGAAUAGUCCCUGUCACACUAAAUAUUUUUUAAGUGAAGGAAAGGGAUGGUGGGCAGUGUGCUCAUGUGCUGGUUGUUCUCUGGUGUCCUCUAUCCAGGUUCAGUGUCUACCCUUCCCUGGCUUGCUGUGUGUCUCAGGAGGUUGGCCUCUAGAGACGGUGUCACUCAGCCUCCACUGGGCUCUGGAUUUCCAGUUAGGCUUGACCAGUGAGAGGCACCAGCAGAAUAUUGGAGGAUAGUACAGGUAAGAAGUGGUCAGGGUAUUUAUCUCUACCCGGUUGAGUUUCACUAUGGUUUUGGCAGUGGUUGAAUUUUGUGAACAAAGUUCUUAUUUACCAAGUUUCCAACUCUUUCCCAGCUCUAGUAAUGAUUUUCUGAUGCUUUGUCAUCCUUUUUAAUACUUCCUUGAUUAGACGCUAUUUACAGUUGCUUUUGUUGCCUGCAGGAACUCUCACUGACACAGCAGGGGCAGGUCAGAGGCUGACAAGCUCAGUACAACUAACACUUGAGUUCAUAUAACUCACCCAUAGCCACACAGAGAAAGUGGUGGAAGCAGAUUUCAAAUUUAAACUCAGGGAGUGUGAGGAGAUCUGCAGAAACUGUUAUAUUAGAAGUCCAAGGAAGAGAGAAUGUUAAGAUGUUAAGAUGGAAAGAUGGAAUGUUAAGGUGGUUUGUCAAGUGCAGUCGGAGUCCCUUUUUCUUCUGGGUUUGGUGGCCUCCUGCACCUUUGCCUUUCUCUGACUCUCAUUAAAAUUGUUAAAUAAGGGAGAUUUUAGAGUCCUAGGCUCAAAAUUAAAAUUUGGUUUAUUUUGUAAUACGGCUCCAGAAGCCUUUAAUUCUCUAUUUAUUUCUAAAAGAAAAAGAUUGGGCACUACUGACCUAGAUAAAGACCCCAGAUGAGAGAAGGACCAGUGAGUGUCCCUUAGAUAUUUCUUUUAAAGGUAGCCACUAGGGCCUUAGGGAAAGUACUUUCAGGAACAGACAAAUUGCACCAGUUUGAGAGUGAAUGAAAGGUAACUAUGAAAGAGUGAGUUUAGAUAGCAUUUUUAAUAAUUUUGGAUGGAAAGGAAGAAAAAGGGGAUAGCUAGAAGGUAAUACAGGGUGAGGAAGAUGGGGACAUUCUAACUGAAGGAUUCCAGUGUGUUUAUAGAUUGAGGUAAAGAAGGCUGGAGAGAAGAGGGCAUUAAGGCACAGAAGAGAGGAAAUAUAAUGAAGCCAGGUUGUAAAGGAGAUGAAAGAGAAUGUGGUUAAGAUAUUAGGGGAAGGAUUAGAGGCAGGGGAGACAGUGCUUCCUUUGAGAUUCAAAGGAAAGAUGUAGAGAUGAAUGCAAAUUUGCCACUGCCUAUUUCUAAUCGUAAUAGAUUCUGUCAUUUCAGGAUUUAUUUUAAUGUAGUUGGGGAGUGGCAGGUAGUUUUUCUCUCCCCUUUGAUAGCCUGGGGCUUCAUUUCUAUGACUUUUCCUGAUCAAAAAUGAGAACCGAUCUAUCUUCUCAGCUCUUCAGGUGUCAAUUAUACAAUAAGCAAAUUUUUCCAGGCUCCCUGUUACAUACUUGCCACUACACUUCUGACUGAGAUGUGGUAUUUUGUUAGUAUCUGUUGAGGACUGAAAAUGAGAUCAAAGAGAAAAAUCCAAUCAAGCAUUAAGUAAUCAUAUUUAAAUGGAAAAUGGGAAGAUACUAUUAAUGAAUUCAAUGGUACAUCACUCUCUAAACUCUAAAUUUGCUAUUUUAUAAUUAUGAAUUUCUGUGUAUUGUACAAUAUUAGCUUCAGUUAAUUUUAAGUGCACCCAUAAUAUUAAAUGUGUUUUGAUAUGUGGUUGUUGAAGCUAACUGUUAAAAUUAGUUUGCUGUGAUUUAUUGUUAUUCAUACAAAUGGUUUAUCAAAUGCAA
rnacentral:antisense_RNA from 1 species